rnacentral:rRNA from 1 species
ACAUCUAAGUACCCGGAGGAAAAGAAAUCAAACGAGAUGCCCACAGUAGCGGCGAGCGAAGAGGGCAGAGCCCAAACCUGUAAGCUACGGCUUAUGGGGGUUGAGGACUGACGUAAUUAAGGCCAGGCUUAGCUGAACUACCUGGGAAGGUAGGCGAUAGAAGGUAAGAGCCCUGUAAGCGAAAGGCAGAGCCUUAAGGUCAGUAUCCAGAGUACCACGGAGCACGAGGAAUUCUGUGGGAAGCAGGGGGGACCACCCUCCAAGGCUAAAGACUAACUGGCGACCGAUAGCGCAUAGUACCGUGAGGGAAAGGUGAAAAGAACCCCGGGAGGGGAGUGAAAUAGUACCUGAAACCGUAUGUCUACAAGCAGUCGGAGCGAAAGCGACGGCGUGCCUAUUGAAGAAUGAACCAACGAGUUAUCUGCACUAGCGAGGUUAAGUGGAAGACACGGAGCCGUAGCGAAAGCGAGUCUGAAAAGGGCGGAUAGUUAGUGUAGGUAGACCCGAAACCGCAGUGAUCUACCCAUGUCCAGGUUGAAGCGCAGGUAAAAAUGCGUGGAGGACCGAACCGGUGAGCGUUGAAAAGCUUUCGGAUGAGAUGUGGGUAGGGGUGAAAUUCCAAUCGAACGCGGAGAUAGCUGGUUCUCCCCGAAAUAGCUUUAGGGCUAGCCUCAGGUAGUAAGUAUAGGCGGUAGAGCACUGAUCGGGCUAGGGGCCAUAAAGGUUACCGAACCCUGUCAAACUCCGAAUGGAUAUACUGCAGAGCCUGGGAGUCAGACUACGAGUGAUAAGAUCCGUGGUCAAAAGGGAAACAGCCCAGACCACCGGCUAAGGUCCCAAAUGCCGUACUAAGUGGAAAAGGAUGUGGGGAUUCAUAAACAACCAGGAUGUUGGCUCAGAAGCAGCCACCAUUUAAAGAGUGCGUAAUAGCUCACUGGUCGAGAGUCCCUGCGCCGAAAAUUUCCGGGGCUAAAGUACGGAACCGAAGCCGUGGCUGUGUACGUAAGUGCACGGGGUAGGGGAGCGUUGCCACAGGGGUGAAGCUGGUCUGGAAGGACUGGUGGACUUGUGGGAAGUGAGAAUGUUGGUAUGAGUAGCGAAAAGAAAGGUGAGAAUCCUUUCCACCGAAAGCAUAAGGAUUCCUGAGCAACGAUCGUCGUCUCAGGGUAAGUCGGGACCUAAUCCGAGGCAAAGAGCGUAGGAGAUGGACAACAGGUUGAUAUUCCUGUACCGGCAGCAAUUGUUUGAGCGAAGGAGUGACACAGAAGGGCAGGCAGGCGCGAGACUGGAUUGUCGCGUGCAAGCGUGUAGGGUAGUGUACAGGCAAAUCCGUACACUGAGAGCCUGAGGCGUUACGCGGAGCGAGCAGAGAUGCGAGCGAAGCUGCUGAUCCCACACUGUCGAGAAAAGCUUCUAGUGAGAGAGCUGCCGCCCGUACCGUAAACCGACACAGGUAUGCGGGGAGAGAAUCCUAAGGUGCGCGGGAGAACCCUCGUUAAGGAACUCGGCAAAAUGUACCCGUAACUUCGGGAUAAGGGUAGCCGUCUUGGUGAAGGAGCUUGCCUCUGGAGCUGAAGGCGGUCGCAGAGAAGAGGCCCAAGCGACUGUUUACCACAAACACAGGUGCCUGCUAAAGCGAAAGCUGACGUAUAGGUGCUGACACCUGCCCAGUGCUGGAAGGUUAAGGAAGGAUGUCCGGGCAACCAAAGCAUUCGACCGAAGCCCCAGUGAACGGCGGCCGUAACUAUAACGGUCCUAAGGUAGCGAAAUUCCUUGUCGGGUAAGUUCCGACCCGCACGAAAGGUGUAACGAUUUGGGCACUGUCUCAACGAGGGACCCGGUGAAAUUGAAAUACCUGUGAAGAUGCAGGUUACCCGCGACAGGACAGAAAGACCCCAUGGAGCUUUACUGUAACCUGACAUUGGGUUUUGUUGUAUUACGUACAGGAUAGGUGGGAGGCUUGGAAGGCUGGACGCUAGUCUGGCUGGAGCCGUCGUUGGGAUACCACCCUUGAUACAACGGAAUUCUAACCGAGAGAGUAACGAAAUCCGGGACAGUGUCAGGCGGGCAGUUUGACUGGGGCGGUCGCCUCCGAAAGAGUAACGGAGGCGCCCAAAGGUUCCCUCAGCGCGGCCGGAAAUCGCGCGAAGAGUGUAAAGGCAGAAGGGAGCUUGACUGCGAG